GACGAACGCUGGCGGCGUGCCUAAUACAUGCAAGUCGAACGCAUUUUCUUUCACCGUAGCUUGCUACACCGAAAGAAAGUGAGUGGCGAACGGGUGAGUAACACGUGGGUAACAUGCCCAUCAGCGGGGGAUAACACUUGGAAACAGGUGCUAAUACCGCAUAAUUCCAUUUACCGCAUGGUAAAUGGAUGAAAGGCGCUUUUGCGUCACUGAUGGAUGGACCCGCGGUGCAUUACCUAGCUGGUGGGGUAACGGCCUACCAAGGCUGCGAAGCGUAGCCGACCUGGGAGGGUGAUCGGCCACACUGGGACCGAGACAAGGCCCAGACUUCUACGGGAGGCAGCAGUAGGGAAUCUUCGGCCAUGGACGGAAGGCUGGCCGAGCAACGCCGCGGGAGUGAAGAAGGUUUUCGGAUCGGAAAACUCUGUUGUUAGAGAAGAACAAGGAUGAGGGUGGAAAGUUCAUCCCUUGACGGUAUCGAACCAGAAAGCCACGGCUAACUACGUG
rnacentral:rRNA from 1 species